UGGAAGCAGAUCGGCGGCCGCGGGGAGGUUCGGGGCGGCGCAGCCCCGCGCGGUUGUGGGAUCGCUCCCGGGGGCCGCUCCUCUCUCGGGCACUGGGGUCGCGGGAGACGUCGUCGGGAGCUCGGUUUCUGGAGGCCCUUCCCCACCCGGCCUCUGCCUCCUCCACUCCCCCGGGCUGGACGGAACGGGGCCCAGCGCGGGAUGCGAGAGGUAUGAUUUCGCUCUGUCGCCCAGGCUGGAGGGCAGUGGCGCAAUCUCGGCUCACUGCAGCCUCGAACUCCUAGGCUGAAGCGAUUCUCCCGCCUCAGCCUCCAAAGUAGCCGGUACUACAGGCGCGCGCCACCACGCCUGGCUAAGGUGUGUGUGUGUGUGUGUGUGUGUGUGUCUCCAAAGUAGCGAGGACUACGGGUGUGUGUGUGUGUGUGUGUCUCCAAAGUAGCGAGGACUACAGGCUCCCGCCACUACGCCAGGCUAAGGUAGGGUGUGUAUGUGUGUUAACUUUUUGUAGAGAUGGGAUCUCCCUUUGUAACACGGGCGCCCGCCACUAAGCCAGGCUAAGGUGGUGAAUGUGUGUGUGUGUGUGUGUUAACUUUUUGUAGAGAUGGGAUCUCGCUUCGUAACCCGGGCUGGUAUCGAACUCCUGUCUUCAAGGAAUCCUCCCGUCUGGACUCCUCCCAUGGGAUUACGGGCAUGAGCCACGGCACCUGGCUAUUUUUUUUUUCUAAGCAUUUAAAUAAGCUGGGGCUUGAUUUGGGAGUUUUCUAUUGUAUUUUGAGCUUUGCCGAGGACUUGAUAGUGACCUUGCUUUAAGCUGUGAAAUAAAUCUUGGGGUCCCAGAGCUAUUUUAAUAUUGAAUUCGCUGUGGAGUUGUUUUGAGUUCCUUGGAGGUUAACAUGAGAUAGAAAACUAAGUUAACACAACUCAUCGACUGCCCUUGCUUUGCUUUGCUUUGCUUUUAGAAUGCCAUCGGGUUUUGUCAUGUUGGGAACAAGUUAACUUAGGCCAGUUGACUAAGAUCAAGAAAUAACCAUGGAUAUGGGUAGAGACAGAGCCAUAUGGAAUGCACACUGCAGUGGUGAACACAUGGCCCAGCUCUGCCAUCAAGGAGAAGGAACAUGAAUGGAGCUGGAGGCCAUCAUCCUUAGUGAACUAACACAGGAGCAGAAAACCAAAUACCACAUGUUCUCAUGUGUAAGUGGGAGCUAAAUGAUGAGAACACAUGGACACAAAGAGGGGAACAACAGACACUGAAGCCUCCUUGAGGGAGGAGGGUAAGAGGAAGGAGAAGAUCAGAAAAGAUAACUACCAGGUACUAUGGUAGCUUAGUACCUGGGUGAUGAAAUAAUCUGUACACCCAACCCUCAUGACAGAAGUUUACCUGUGUAACAAACCUGCACAUGUAUCCCUGAAACUAAAAGUUUUUUAAAAAGUUAUUUAAUAUAUAUAUAUUUUUUUGAGACGGAGUUUUGCUCUUGUUGCCCAGGCUGGAGUGCGGUGGCGCAAUUUCGGCUCACCACAACCUCCGCCUCCCAGGUUCAAGCUAUUCCCCUGCCUCAGCCUCCCUAGUAGCUGGGAUUACAGGCUUGUGCCACCACGCCGGCUAAUUUUGUAUUUUUUGUAGAGACGGGGUUUCUCCAUGUUGGUCAGGCUGGUCUCGAACUCCCGACCUCAGGUGAUCCACCCCCCUCGGCCUCCCAAAGUGCUAGGAUUACAGGCAUGAGCCACUGCGCCCGGCAAAAAGUUAUUUAAUAUUAAUGGGACAAUACUCAUUGCAAGAAUCAGACUUCAAUUGCUAGCAUAAGUAAAUGACAGGCAGGAGAUAUUGAAAAUGCAAUCUUAUAGACAUUCAAGGAGAGGACGCAGGACAUUUCUGUGUCAUAAAUGUACUAUGGAAAAUAAAAAUGAGAAAAAUGGAAAUAAAAUACAAGAAAAGGUUAUGAUAAAUUUCAUAUUAUUUUACCACAAUAAAAAAAUUUUAAUAAAUUAUAAAUGGUGUGAUAUGUUUUGCCUGUGUUCCACCCAAAUCUCAUCUUGAAUUAGAGCUCCCACAAUUCCCACGUGUUGUGGCUGGGACCCUGUGGGAGAUAAUUGAAUCAUGGGGGCAGUUUACCCCAUACUGUUCUCUUGGUGGUGAAUAAGUCUCAUGAGAGUUGAUGGUUUGAUAAGGGGUUUCCCCUUUUGCUUGGCUCUCAUUCUCUCUUGACUGCCACCAUGUAAGAUGUGCCUUUUGCCUUCCACCAUGAUUGUGAAGCCUCCCAGCCACAUGGAACUGUGAGUC
rnacentral:lncRNA from 1 species